rnacentral:rRNA from 1 species
UACGUAGGGGGCAAGCGUUGUCCGGAUUUAUUGGGCGUAAAGAGCGUGUAGGCGGUUUGGUAGGUCCGCUGUGAAAACUCGAGGCUCAACCCCGAGACGCCGGUGGAAACCAUCAGGCUAGAGUCCGGAAGAGGAGAGUGGAAUUCCUGGUGUAGCGGUGAAAUGCGCAGAUAUCAGGAAGAACACCCGUGGCUAAGGCGGCUCUCUAGUACGGUACUGACGCUGAGACGCGAAAGCGUGGGGAGCGAACAGG